rnacentral:sRNA from 1 species
UCGAAUCUCUUUAUCCUCUAGUGCGGGGAUUACAGGCUCAUACCUUUGAGGCUUAUUCUUUUUGGAGAUGGUGGGGAUUGAGCACAUGCCCCAUGCUUGCAUGGAAAGCAGUUUAUUGACAGAUAAUCUGAGUCCUUCUGUGUGAUGUGCUGAAGCAUGGCUUCAGGAAGAGCUCUGAGUGGGAAUCACAAUACCAGCCUUUGUCUGACAGCAGAGACAUUUCUACUAGCCAGUAGGUUUAGCCUGGAGGUGAGCCUCAGUUUUACACUGAACAGUUGAAUCUAUCCCCAAGCAUCUAUUUGUUUAUACUGACUGUUUCCGAUCUGAAGUAGGAAUGGGAGUAUCCAGCUGGUUGCUGCGAAGUGUGACAGUGUUUAUCUGAAUUAGAUAGUUAGAGAGGAGGUAUCAGUUCGGGGGAAGAACUUUUCAUUUCAAGUGUCUAUGAUUUCCUUCUCUGGAUGGGCUUCCCACUCUUCCUCUGAGAAUGGAUCUGAGUGUUCUGUUUGGAUUAAUAACCAAAACAAGCACAAGCAGUGGAUUCUCCAGCUAUGCUUACUGCCUCAAGAGAAACUGAGGGUGCUUGUGGAACUAGAAAGAAAAGUUGCUGUUUCAUUUGCAUCCCUUUUAGAACAGUUGGUAAUGGAACCCCAAAAUACCCUGGCUUGCCCGGAAUUGUGCAAUUCAGAUAAAGGAAGAAUGUAAUUGUCCAUGGGACAAUCGCCAUCAACCACAGCAUCAAAUCACACUGUAGAAGAAAGGGUAGACCAGUUGACCUGAGUAACCUUGGAUGCUAAACAUUCCCCAUUCUGAAGGAGUUCGCAGAGGUAGUAGGAAACCCAGAACCAUCUUCACCAUCUGCUCCCAAAUCAAACCUCCUACUAGUAUAUAUCUGAGUACUGGACUGCUCACAAACAUUUCUUUGUUUAUUUUAAGCAAACUCCAAAUGUAUCUAUCCCCUGGUCUACGAAGCAAGUCUACUUUGUAGAAGCUGACAAGUGCCUCCCCUCACCACCAAUGGGACACAAUUUUACUAAUGCAAGUUGUAGAGAGAUUGUUUAUUCACUUUUUGGGAAGAUGUUGGGUUACCAAGAAUUCUGCUAGACUGUAGAGAGCGGCGACAUCCAGCCUUGUCUGGAUAUAAACGACUUACUGCGCAUGUGCAGGCUUGUC